rnacentral:rRNA from 1 species
AAGGGGGGUGGAAAUCCGGAACCAACCAGGCCGCGUGCGGGAAGAAGGCCCUAUGGGGUGUAAACUGUUUUUAUUCGGAAAAAAAACUUUCGAUUUGUGGAAGCUUGACCGUACCUAAUGAAUAAGGACCGGCUAACUCCGUGCCGGCAUCCGCGGUAAUACGGAGGGUGCAAGCGUUAUCCGGAUUCACUGGGUUUAAAGGGUGCGCAGGCGGAAAUGUAAGUCAGUGGUGAAAUCUUGCCGCUCAACUGUAAAACUGCCUUUGAUACUGGAAUACUUGAAUUUGGGAGAGGUAGGCGGAAUAUGUCAUGUAGCGGUGAAAUGCAUAGAUAUGAAAUGCAAUACCAAUUGCGAAGGCAGAUUACUAAACCAAUAUUGACGCUGAUGGACGAAAGCGUGGGGAGCCAACAGGAUUAGAUACCCUGGUAGUCCACUCCGUAUACGAGGAAUACUCCCCGUUUGUGAUACCAAUAAGGGUUAAGCCACAGCCUUAGGCGUAC